rnacentral:RNase_MRP_RNA from 1 species
UGCCAGGAGCAAGCUCCUCGUCUGUGCGCUGCGAAGUCGUGCUUCCCCUGCCUUCUGAAGCACAUGCAGAUGCUCACCAUCGCCUACAACAAAGACGCCCACAUGCACAAAAGAACUCAAAACCAAACCUCUGACAAGAUGGCUCAAAUCAAUCUCACUGUUGGCAUUCACCGGCAGAACAUCUUCAAAUACUGGAACAUUCCGAAGCCCAAUGCUCAA